UUGAAGAAUUACAAAAGUCUCUCUCCAUAUAGCUACAUAUAUUAAACCUUCCAAACUACCUCCAUUUCUUCAUUUAUCAACUAAACAAAAUCUCUUUCUUUCUUACAUUUAAAGGUCUUCUACCUUUAAAUUGUUCUUCUACAAUACAACUUCUAUUAAAUUUAAUAGUUAGGUAAGACAAGUCAUUUGAACGGACCAGCAUAUAGUAAAAUAUGUUAUAUCUCACACGUGAAUUCUAUUAUAUUAUUCCUUUAUAACCAACACCAUACGUCUUUGUGUUCUAAUCCUCUCGUGAAGCGGUCCACUUUGCAUCGGGUAGACCCUUAUUAACGUGCUCCUGCAACAACACCCACCAAUAGGUCUAAUAAGAAUUUAUUCAUUUUGCAGGACAAAGCACUUACUAUACCAAGUGCUAUCAACCAAUAAAGAAUGUUGCCGAGACUAGAUGUUGUAUUGAGGCUUCACCUUAAUGGUCUUUAUUUAUGGGUUUUAACCGCAUCCCCCUUGAAGUGAGCGUACGUAGACAACGGUGAUCGCCCCAUCUUUAACUAAUUGAUUGGCUAAUAUGCCUACACAUUCUGUUAUAUAUAUGAUUGUACACUCCAGCUCACUAUCACAAUGGAUAGAAAUCGGUGGCAUGGGCUUAGGCCAUAAUGGAAUAUCAAAAAGCUAAUUUCCCCUUCCGUAGAAGCAUAUGACAAGGCUACA
rnacentral:lncRNA from 1 species